AGCGAACGCUGGCGGCAGGCCUAACACAUGCAAGUCGAACGAAGUCUUCGGACUUAGUGGCGGACGGGUGAGUAACACGUGGGAACGUGCCUUUAGGUUCGGAAUAACUCAGGGAAACUUGUGCUAAUACCGAAUGUGCCCUUCGGGGGAAAGAUUUAUCGCCUUUAGAGCGGCCCGCGUCUGAUUAGCUAGUUGGUGAGGUAAAGGCUCACCAAGGCUACGAGCAGUAGCUGGUCUGAGAGGAUGACCAGCCACAUUGGGAAUGAGCAACGGACCAAACUGCUACGGGAGGCAGCGGUGGGGAAUCUUGCGCAAUGGGCGAAAGCCUGACGCAGCCAUGCCGCGUGGAUGAUGAAGGUCUUAGGAUUGUAAAAUCCUUUCACCGGGGACGAUAAUGACGGUACCCGGAGAAGAAGCCCCGGCUAACUUCGUGCCAGCCGCCGCCGUAAUAC
rnacentral:rRNA from 1 species